rnacentral:rRNA from 1 species
AGGACGAACGCUGGCGGCGUGCUUAACACAUGCAAGUCGAGCGGAAAGGCCCUUCGGGGUACUCGAGCGGCGAACGGGUGAGUAACACGUGAGUAACCUGCCCCUAGCUCUGGGAUAGCUCCGGGAAACCGGGAUUAAUACCAGAUACGACCACUUUAGACAUCUGUCGUGGUGGAAAGGAUUCCGGCUAGGGAUGGGCUCGCGGCCUAUCAGCUUGUUGGUGGGGUAACGGCCUACCAAGGCGACGACGGGUAGCCGGCCUGAGAGGGCGACCGGCCACACUGGGACUGAGACACGGCCCAGACUCCUACGGGAGGCAGCAGUGGGAAUAUUGCGCAAUGGGCGAAAGCCUGACGCAGCGACGCCGCGUGGGGAUGAAGGCCUUCGGGUUGUAACCCCUUUCAGCAGGGACGAAGCGAAAGUGACGGUACCUGCAGAAGAAGCGCCGGCUACUACGCGCCAGCAGCCGC